GGGGUGUUUAAGGUUGAGGUGAGACUGGAUUGGCCUCAGGGAACUACUGCCACAGGAGGAAAAUGUGAGCCAGAAAGAGGCCCCAGGGCAAAUGGCACCAAGCUCAGCUAUCUGGGGAAGAGUUUAAAUCUGUUCAUGAGCCCCUCGCACCCGUGCUUCUCUACCUGUGACCUCAUCCCAUCGUCACAAGAGCCCUGUGUGGUACAUGGAAUUUCGUAGGAAAGGAAACUGCUGUUCAGUGAAGGGAGGAACCUGCCCAGACAGGCCUGGGAACCUGCCAGCAAGGCAGUCCACCACCACGUCCUUUUGCCUCUGGCCGCGGCACACUGGAGGGAAGCCGUGGGGCCCUGCAGGGAACCCUGCCUUGUCCAGACUCUGCAAGGUGCCUCUGCAGGGCUUCUGGCGUCCCUUCCACAGGAGCUAUUUGCAACCCUGGGAAUUGUAGAGAACUUCUGUCCUGCCUGGAGAGGCUUGACUGCCCCUGUGGGCCCUGCUGAGAGGCUGGCUCUGCUUCCAUCUGUACUUCAUGCUCCUCACUCCGUGUGAACUCCUGCCACUGGGACUGCCUCUGAGAACCAGUCACAGCACCUGCCAGCUUCCCUCAUGUCCAGAGAACUGAGUGCUACUCUUUUCCUAGUGGCAUUGUCACCGCUGUGAUGAGACUGGACCGCGAGGAGGCAGCAGGAGGAGCGUGGCCACCUCUGCAAUUGACACCAAAGCCCAACCUUUUAUGUGAGAGCGUGGCAGGCUUCCUGAGGUAAACUCUUGACUAACUCACUAGUGACGUGCUGAUUUUCCAAUUUACAAAGGGCUGGAUAAUUAUUAACAUUUUUUUUUCACAUUAGUGGGAGGCAUUCUGAGCAUAUCACUUAAGGACUGCACUAGAGGAAAACAUGGAGUGAACUCGCUGACAACGAUUUUUGAAAUCCAGGGUAAUUAGUUCCAUCAGAACAAUCCCAAUUACAUUCCUAAUUCUCUCUGCCUUGCUGAAAGCACCGAAAGUGAACCAUGUUGGUGUCAUUAUAUUCCUGCUCAGAAGAGUCUUUAUCACCAGCGCUGGGAAUGGAGGAGGGGUUGAGGAAGGGGCCAGUGCCCAGGUUGUGGGAAGCCCCCACAAGGGGACCAAGCCAAUGAUACCAGCGUGGCACAAGGGCCUGAAAGUCAAAGAGUGGCCAGUGCGGGGUGAGGAAGGGGACCAAGUUUCUGGUCGUCUCCCGAGGAAUUCAAGUAACACUCAUGUGAGGACAUUUAUAACGUCAGCUCCAGAGACAUCUUGGUAGCCAAAUGAGGAAAGAAAAUAACUUUCAUCUGAGGAAUUUGAGACCUUUCAAAUUAUUACAGCCAGAGAGACAUUAAAAUGGGACAAUAAGCCAAACACAGUGGCUCACGUCUCUAAUCACAAUGCUUUGGGAAGCCUAGGUGGGAGGGGCGCUUGAACCUAGGAGGUCAAGACCAGCCCGGGCAACACACAAGACCCCAUCUCUGCAAAAAAAUACAAAAAUUAGCCAGGUUGUGGUGGCGUGCACCUGUAUUCCCAGCCACUCAGAAGGAUGAGGUGGGAGGAUUGCUUGAGCCCAGGAGGUCAAGGCUGCAGUGAGCUGUGAUUGCACCACUGCACUCCAGCCUGGGUGACAGAGCAAGACCUUGUCUCAAGAAAAAGACAUCAAUCACUCCCCCUUUUUAACUAUGUAUUCAUCUCUUGGAACUGCUUGCUAUUGCCACAAGUAGCUAUAAAUUAACUUAAUAAUGCCACACUGAAUACUAGAACCCACACUCUAUGGCUUAACAAUGUGUAGCCAUUGAUCAAUAUCAUUUCUGUAAACCAAUGAGAAUUCCUGGCAGACAGCUGUGUAUCAGCCCAUUCCCUGUCCCUUUUACCUUUAAAAAUCCACUUGUAAGUGCUGCUAAUCAGAGUGUUCAUUCAGGGGAACUUGAAUCUAUGUUCUUGGGUUGCAGUCUUCAAGCUUGGACCCAGUUACUUCUCUACUUUUACCAAUUUUGCCUCAGCUUCUUCCUUUUAGGCCGACAUAAACUAAUCCAACAAGUUCAUGUUUACUCAAUCAGAACAAGAUGUGUUGUUCAACCGGCAUUUCCUGCGUGUCAGGGGGUAUAGAGUUCACCUGUAAGGUCAGGGAUGUCGCCCGAUUAGAUCAACAGAGAUCCACCUGGGGGUGGCUGAUGUGCACUACCUCACAUAGCCAGCAGAGGGCAGUGCAGUGCCAAUAGCUGCAGCUUGGCCAUUGACACCUGUAGAAAGAAUCUCAUGUUCAGAAGUCAUUUUACCUUCUGCCUUGUCCCGGAGGAGGGUGCUCAGGCCACAGGCUCUGUGACAGCUCCCCCAGCGAGACAGACUUCCAGGCAGUGCAGAGACAAAACACCUCAAAAACAAACUAGCCCUUUUCUUACUAAUAGCAGCCUCCUCUUUAGCCUUAAAUUCUAUUUCUGUGUGGUUUUUUUUCUCUGCUUUAUCAAAGAUGUCCUCCUAGGAAGUGGCGGGCCCACCUGGCCACACUUGCCUGGGUUGAGGUGUGAAAGAAAUUAACCUGCAAGUCCCCUACUGCCUGGGGCAAUGGUCCGCACCUGCAUCCUCAGCCUGCCCCAGAGCCUGGUGAUAAACAUCAUCUGGUUGGUCAGAGGAUAGAAAGGCUAUCCCACACUGGGUCCUGCACCCACAGGGGCAUGGUGACAUCCAGUUGAAGUCUGGGGGCACUUGGUAAUUUGGAGACAGAUGAGCGCACAAUAGUAGCAAGUCCAGCCCCUGCAGCUCGUGCUGGAGUGAGAAGCCAGGAGCAGAGCCUUUAGCAUGCUGCCCUGGGUGCACAGAUGACUGCACAGCCACAUCCCAGGACCCUGAAGUCUCCUUGAGGGUUCCAAUUUCUCCUGGACAGCUUCAACAAAGGGACCAAGAAGUGCUGAGGGAGAAAUGGAAGGAGACUCACUCUCCACCCUAAGCAAAUCUGUAUUACAGACCCUAGAGCUUGAGAAGGUGGAAGGGAAGGAAGUUUUUGAUUGGGACAAGGAUCUCUCUUGCUCUUAGCACUUAGAAGGGCAUGUGGGCUCAGUAGAUGCUGAAUGACCCUCAUUUUGGGUUGAAUCUCAGAAUCACAGGGAAGGCACAUUAAAGAGUGCACAGACCACACACAUGCACCCACACCAAGGUCCCCACACACCUCCCUGGCCACUCCAAGUCACACAGCAAACUGCUAAGCAGAGCCCCUGAGCAUGGGAGUGUCCCUCAGAGCCCACCAGGAAAUAAGCCCAUCUCAAGGACAGGAAACAAUAAAUACCAGAAAGUGGCCACACUGAUGUGGGGAGAGUUGAGAAGUCAGCCAGGAGCCUGGGCAACCCACAAGCCAGUGAAGACCCAAGACCCAGCUGCCCCUGAGCUGGGGACCUAGGCCUGCCCAAGUAGCUGCUGCCAGACUCACCCGAGACAGACAGAGGGGCCACCCUGGAUUCUCCCCUCCACUAUAAGGUGCAACCGAGAAGGAAGCUAAGAGACACGGAGUCUAGGAAUGUCAGUGUGAGGCCAGGAAUGAAUGCAAGGCUGACAAGCCAUGGACAGAAACAAUAGGACAAGCUGUCUUGAGCCCAGGUGUCCCGUUUCCCAUCCCUAGGUACUUGGAUCAAGACACUAGCAUUGUGGACAAUGGGUGGGAGGAUUACUGUCGUGUGAUUAAGCUGGUGUGGAUGGUUUUGGGAAUGUGUGUGACUAUAAUUUGGAAACUGUGUAUAUGCCUGUUUAGGUACGCAUUAUUUCUCAAACACCCCUGCUGUCUGCUUCAUUGGUUUUCAGUCAUCUCUCAUUGCAAGUGGUGCAUGGAAUUUUUUUAAUGUAUCAGGA
rnacentral:lncRNA from 10 species